rnacentral:piRNA from 1 species
UAUGUGGUGUUUUCAGCAAAUGGGUCUC